rnacentral:rRNA from 1 species
CCUACGGGAGGCAGCAGUGGGGGAUAUUGCACAAUGGGGGGAACCCUGAUGCAGCGACGCCGCGUGGGUGAAGAAGCGCCUCGGCGCGUAAAGCCCUGUCAGCAGGGAAGAAAAUGACGGUACGUGAAGAAGAAGCCCCGGCUGAGUACGUGCCAGCAGGCGCGGUAAUACGGAGGGGGCAAGCGUUAUCCGGAUGGACCGGGGGUAAGGGGGGCGCAGGCGGCGGGGCAAGCCAGGGGUGAAAGCGCGGGGCCCAACCGCGGGACGGCGCUGGGAACGGCGUGGCGGGAGUGCAGGAGGGGCGGGCGGAAGUCGUGGGGGAGCGGUGAAAUGCGUAGAUAUCAGGAGG